CAAAAACAAAUUCAGCCUGGGCAACACAGCGAGACCUCACCUCUAAAAACGAUAACAUGGCCCCAAGUCCUUGCCCCUCUUCCCAUCAAGACGUGGGGUCUCUACCCCCCACCCCCACUGCCCCUCUUCCCAUCAAGACGUGGGGUCUGUACCCCCUACCCACACUGACCCUCUUCCCAUCGAGAGGUGGGGUCUCUACCCCUUACCCACACUGACCCUCUUCCCAUUGAGAGGUGGGGUCUCUACCCCUUACCCCCACUGCCAAACCUGGACCAGCUGUGACUGCUUUCAAUGGCAGGCAGUGGCAGUGAGGCCAGGUGUGUUUGGAGACUGGACAGCACAGGCCAGUGGCCUCACCUGACACUCCGACUCAAGAAGCUCCCUUUCCGAGCCUGGUCAUCAUGCUGGGAGAAACCCAAGCCACACAGGAGGCCACGAGCUCGUGCUUUGGUGGACAGUCACCACUGAGCCCGGCUCAGCGCACAUAUGUGAUGGUCCAGCUUCAAGUCCCCUUAGUGUUGGCACCGUCCCAUUUGACCCCAGACAACAUGGAACAGAAUCAAAGCCACUCCAUUGCGUCCUGCGUGAAUUCCUGACCUCCAGCUCCGCCAGCAUAAUGAAAUAGUGGCUGCUUCAUCUUACCCAAUUCAGCUUGGGGUGGUUUGUUACACAGAAGCCAAUAUUUGACUUUAUUUGACUGAUGGCUGUCCAAAAGCUUACAAUUUGAACAGCCUGACAUGGAUGCUGUUUUCUGCCUAAAAACUCAUAUUUUGCAAACUACUGAGUGCAAGUUUACUUUAAUGACCUGUGAGCUUGGCCGUGUAAAGACUUGCUGAAAGCCAGCCGUAUUAUCAGAAAGCACGGAGCCAGUUUGCAAGCUCUCGUAUUGCUCAGAACUCUUUCAGUGGUAAGGGGCAGAGAUGGGACCCACGCUAGCUACCAGCAGAAAGGAAGCUACCGGCAGGGUGGUACCUCGGGCUGGCUCCAGAGACACAUGCACGCACACAUGCAUGCACAGGCACACACAUAUGUGCACACACACAUACAUACACGGGAAGCAUUCUAUUGCUAUAUGGUGAAACUUGUGGUCAUUUUAUUUCCUCAUGAGCUGCAAUUGUGGGUUUAUCAGAUGUUUCUGCCACUUUCCUUCUCUCUCUCUUCCUCUCUCUCUCUCUCUGCUAUCAUUUGAAUAAACAUAUCGCUCCAGAAUUCAUAUACUGAAAUGUAAUGGAUUAAGAGAUGGGGCCUUGGGCAGGUGACUGAGUCAUGAGGGCCUCCCUCACGGAUGGGAUUAGUGCCCUUAUAAAAGGGCUGGAGGAAACUAGCUAGGCCACUUUUGCCCUCCCGCCCCUUCCACUAAGUGAGGCCAGAACGUAGCAACCAGACACCAUCUUGGAAGCAGAGAGCAUUCUCAUCAGUCGCCAGACCUGCUGGUGCUGUGAUCUUGAACUUCCAACCUCCAGAAUUGUAAGCAAUGUAUUUGUGCUGUUUAUAAAUUACCCAGUCUAAGGGAUUUUGUUAGCAGCAUAAACAGACCAAGACACUCUCUCUCAGUUUCUUGGCUCUCUCUCCGUUGGCCUCAUUUUCUCCUGCAAAUGAACCUCGUCCAUUUGGCCAGCAGGAGGGAGGAUGUGGCUGCAGGCCACCAGGCUAACAGCCCCUCAGGUCAACAACACCCCCAUGGAACCUCUUCCUCUCUUCAGCGUGUGUCAUACGUGUACACACAUGCAUACACACAUACAGGAAGCACUCUAUCUUUACAUAGUGAAGCUUGUGGUCAUCAUUUUAUUUCCUCGUGAGCUGCAAUGGUAAGAAUUCCCUGAAAAUUCCCCCACUGGCAGGCCACAGCGUGCUUAAACAACAUCAAAUCCAACGCAUCUCACUGUAUCACUGAACUAUAGUUAGAGGUUUUGUUUUGAAAAUUAGUUGACAACUUCAGCGCUUUUGUCAUUUUUAUGUUCACCAGCACAAAGAUGAGCUUUUAGGUGCUCAGGAAGGGCAAGCCAGGUGACCGUCUUCCAUGCAGCAGGGACUCUACUUAAAUUCAGUGUUUUUCCAAAGCCCCUUUCUACUCCAAAAGCACCCAUCUUAUAAUCAAUAUGCUGGGAGCACUCAGUUUCUCUCCCUGCAUGACCAAGUUAAUCAACAGCAGAGGCUGCAUUAAUCAGCUUUGUUGCAGUAACAAACACGCCCAGAACGUGCCCCAGUGCUGGCAUCUCAGGUGGGCUCAGGUGGGCUGCAGAUCAGCCACUUGUUUGCUCAUUCCUGGAGCAGCAGGAAUUCCUGGACCAUUCCAGUCCCUACUGGAGACAUGCUGGUGGCAAAGUCUUCCUUACCAAGCUUAAACAAGUGUCAUGAAGUCUUUUUUCUUUAACACUGGCCUCUGGUAGCCUCUGCUCAGAUGGGCUUUUGUCCUGGCAUCCCCUUGACAUUGGCCAAAGCUGGUCUCAGACCAAGCCCAGCAAUGGGAUCUCGGCAUGUGCCUCCAGGAAGAACUGCAAACUGAAUGUCGAUGAUUCGAAUGCAUAACCCCUGCGGGGCUAGAGGACACACAGAUGCACACAGUUCACCGCAGACCCUCUCAGGGGCCACCCAGACCAGCCGUGUUGGGAAGGACGCUGUUGGAAAGGCUUCCUCCUGGGCUGUGGUUUGAGCCUCUCUGAGGUGUCUCCUGCUCUCUCCAGAAUGGAAUGGAAGGGAGGUGGGUCUCAGAUUUCUGAAGAGCAGCUGCCUAAGCCUGGAGUUUCAGGUGAUUGAGUGUGUUGGUGGGUGGGGGGUAGUGAGGAAAGCAAAGGAAAGAAAUAAGCUCUUGGCUUGGACUUGAAGGGCUGCCUGGCGCUGUCCUGCUUCGGGGCUGAGGGGAGGAGCUGAGGCAGGUGAAGGCCUUGGUGGCCCUGGACCCAUCAGAACCCAACAGCUCUCCAUGGCAGCACCCGCCCCAGCCAGACCAUGAGCCUUGGCUGAGAUCUUGCUUCUGGGAAUGAGGUCAGGCCCUGCUGUUCAGGGGGGGCCCCCAAGGCUGCUCCUGCCUCCCGCCUAAUUCAGCCCUAUUUCUUAGAGGGCUCACCGUGACUCAAACACCCCAGCAAGCAAGACACUCACGUUCCCUCCUUCCUUGACCUGCACCGCCAGCCUCUCUCAAGAGAAAUGGCCGCCAGUGGAUCCAGGGUCCCCAAGGUGUUUGUUUCUGGAAAUUUCCACGGUGGCCAGGCCUCUAAACAUGAGGUCAAGAUGCCACCUGUCCUGGCUCGUCUCUCAUUGCGUUUCCCUGUGUAUGAAGCGACCUUCCUUUGAUCCAGAGCACAAAAAUGCAUGGAAUAUUCUGCAAGGACCACAGGGAGACUUUUAGUUUCCAAAUGUCAGCUGGAAAAUAACAAUAUGGGAGGUAGGAUAAAAAAUCCAUUGCUGGCCGGAUGUAGAGGCUCACGCCUGUAAUCCCAGCACUUUGGGAGGCCGAUGUGGGUGAAUCACUGGAGGUCAGGAGUUUGAGACCAGCCUGGCCAACACGGUGAAACCCCGUCUCUACUAAAAAUUAAAAAAUUGGCUGGAUGUGGUGGCACGAGCCUGUAAUCCCAGCUACUCGGGAGGCUGGGGCAGGAGAAUUGCUUGAACCCAGGAGACAGAGGUUGCAGUGAGCUGAGAUCAGGCCAUUGCACUCCAGCCUGGGUGACAGGAGUGAAACUCCAUCUCAAAAAAAAAAAAAAAAGGGAAAGAAAAGAAAAAGAAAGAAAGAAAAUCCAUUGCCCAGACCGGGCAUCAGAU
rnacentral:lncRNA from 1 species